ensembl:lncRNA
AUGGGGCAGUUGGAUAUAUGUGUAUUUUGUUUAUUUGGGUGGUGUUAUUUUUUUUUUNNNNNNNNNNNNNNNNNNNNNNNNNNNNNNNNNNNNNNNNNNNNNNNNNNNNNNNNNNNNNNNNNNNNNNNNNNNNNNNNNNNNNNNNNNNNNNNNNNNNCGGGCCGCCCCGGCCUGCGCCCGGCUCUUCCGGACGCCACUUCCUUGUGGGACCGGCCCCAACUUCCCGGAGCCGCACUCGGCCGCGGGCCGGCGCGGGCCCCGGGAUCGCUGGCUCCACACACCGCGGCCCGGCGGCCCCCGGGGGCCGGAAGAGGCGCCCCGUGGGGACCUGCAGUCCGGCUGGGUCCCCUGGCCCUUAGCAGGGCCUCCCUCGGCCCGGAGCCACCGGGACGACUUCGCGAGCGCGGCGGGGCCCUCUCCCUCCGUCCCUCCCUCGGUCCGCGGCCUGCAGCCUGGCCCCCUACCUGGCUCCCGGGCCGGACGCGAGCAGCAGCCGGGGGCGCGGAGCCCCGCGCGACGAGGGCGGCGGCGGGGGUCGGGAGGACGGCGGCCCGCGCGGCUCCCACGCUUCCGCCGGAGUCAGGAGUUGAACAUUCCGCCUCUCCGCGCGGCGCCAAUGAGCAGCACAGUGGCCGCAACAGCACCACCUACCUCCGAGCGCGGAACGGCCGCGCGCCGGCCCUCCCCGGCACGCCCGGGCCUCCGGGCCCGAGCGCCGGCGCCCGCCCCUCGGCGCGCUGGAGCCUGCCGAGGCCCGGGACGCCCGGAGCAGCGCGCUGGCCCUUUCGCUGGGCACCACCUUAUCCCGACCGCAGACAUAGGCGCUGGGGCGCCGGGGAAGUCAGUGCUGUAGUGGGGAAGGGGCAGACUCGCACAGAGCUUGCCGGGGGGAAACGGGGCCCCAGCCGCCUCCGUGGAACCACCCGAAAGGAAAAUGCAGCACGGCGACAGCGUGGGAGCGCACUGAGGCCUGUGACAGUGACCUGCUGAACAACUGUAAGAACGCGCGUCAGCGAGGCUUGUUGUGUCGGCUGGCAAAUCCCAGGCAUUGCCGCUGUCUCCGGGUGGAAGGUAUAACACGGUGACAAAGCAGCUCUCCUGCUCCCGAGGACCUUGAGAUACCAUAGAAAUGAACACAGAAAGGCUUUUGCUGCUUUAGCACUUUUUCAAAGCAGGCUUUAAUUGUGGGCUGUUAAACGGGAUAGCAACAGAACCUCUUGGAGCCUUUGAUAGGUUAAUGGUACUGGGAAUCACUUCUAAGAAUGCAGUGUGUUGCGCAGAGGCUCCCAAACUUAUUUAAGAUACCAUCUUGGUUUUUUGUUUUUUUUGUGUUCUAGUUGUGUUUUUGGUUUUUUUGUUUGUUUGUUUGUUUGUUUUAGGAAUAACAGGGGCACUCAUGAGACUUGUAAAGCCUAAAACACACUCUAGGAAAUGCUGACAUUAAAAAAUAGUGGCAUGUCUGGAAUUGAAAGAGUUUUGGAAAUGUCUUCAUCAAAUAUCUACUACGUGCUACAACCGCCAAGAAGCGGCGUGGAGGUCCCACACCAGGCAGCUCUAAAAUCCACCUAUUCAUAGAAGACAUAUUCCUAAUAGCAAAGAAAGGGAAAGAAACAAUUAAUUGUUCCUCAACUGGUGAAUGGAGAAAUACUAUGCAGUAUUACCUACACAGUGGAAUAUUACUCAGCCACAUGGCAGAGACAUGAACACAGGUGUAAGCUGUAACGUGGGUGAACCUUAAAAACACUGUGCUGAGAGAAAGCAGGCACAAAAAAAGGGCUUCACGCUGGAUGGUUCCCUUUCCAUGAAGCAUCCAGAGCCAAGGCACUGAGGCAGAAAGCAGGACAGUGGUCGCCAGGCGCUGGGAGGGGAGGACAGCAAGGAAUGACCACCACAGGGUACGGAGAAUGUUCUGGAGUUAGUGAUGACAGUCCCACAGCUUUGAAAGUCCCAAAGCCUCUGGACUGUGCACUCUAAAAAGGUGAGUUUUUCAGUGUUUAGAUUUCAUUUCAAUUCUUGAAAAAUCCAGGACCCUCCCAAACUAUAGGAAUUGAAAACAUCACAAGCCAUUUCUUGUCAACAAUUAUAUUUAAUGAAGAUACCAGAUGGUAUUUACAGAAGAUAUACAUACAUACAAUUUCUACACAUUAGAUGUUGUCUAAUUGUGAAAACAGGAAAAAAUGUACUCCAAAAUUAUCAACUAAACAAAAUAAAUAAAAAGCAGUUAUUUGGCA